AUUGAACGCUGGCGGCAGGCCUAACACAUGCAAGUCGAGCGGAUGAAGGGAGCUUGCUCCUGGAUUCAGCGGCGGACGGGUGAGUAAUGCCUAGGAAUCUGCCUGGUAGUGGGGGAUAACGUCCGGAAACGGGCGCUAAUACCGCAUACGUCCUGAGGGAGAAAGUGGGGGAUCUUCGGACCUCAGGCUAUCAGAUGAGCCUAGGUCGGAUUAGCUAGUUGGUGGGGUAAAGGCCUACCAAGGCGACGAUCCGUAGCUGGUCUGAGAGGAUGAUCAGUCACACUGGAACUGAGACACGGUCCAGACUCCUACGGGAGGCAGCAGUGGGGAAUAUUGGACAAUGGGCGAAAGCCUGAUCCAGCCAUGCCGCGUGUGUGAAGAAGGUCUUCGGAUUGUAAAGCACUUUAAGUUGGGAGGAAGGGCAGUAAGUUAAUACCUUGCUGUUUUGACGUUACCAACAGAAUAAGCACCGGCUAACUUCGUG
rnacentral:rRNA from 1 species